GACGAACGCUGGCGGCGUGCCUAAUACAUGCAAGUAGAACGCUGAAGGAGGAGCUUGCUUCUCUGGAUGAGUUGCGAACGGGUGAGUAACGCGUAGGUAACCUGCCUGGUAGCGGGGGAUAACUAUUGGAAACGAUAGCUAAUACCGCAUAAUAGCAGUUGUUGCAUGACAACUGUUUGAAAGGUGCAAUUGCACCACUACCAGAUGGACCUGCGUUGUAUUAGCUAGUUGGUGGGGUAACGGCUCACCAAGGCGACGAUACAUAGCCGACCUGAGAGGGUGAUCGGCCACACUGGGACUGAGACACGGCCCAGACUCCUACGGGAGGCAGCAGUAGGGAAUCUUCGGCAAUGGACGGAAGUCUGACCGAGCAACGCCGCGUGAGUGAAGAAGGUUUUCGGAUCGUAAAGCUCUGUUGUAAGAGAAGAACGAGUGUGAGAGUGGAAAGUUCACACUGUGACGGUAUCUUACCAGAAAGAGACGGCUAACUACGUG
rnacentral:rRNA from 1 species